GACGAACGCUGGCGGCGUGCUUAACACAUGCAAGUCGAACGGAAAGGCCCUGCUUUUGUGGGGUGCUCGAGUGGCGAACGGGUGAGUAACACGUGAGUAACCUGCCCUUGACUUUGGGAUAACUUCGGGAAACUGGGGCUAAUACCGGAUAGGAGCUCCUGCUGCAUGGUGGGGGUUGGAAAGUUUCGGCGGUUGGGGAUGGACUCGCGGCUUAUCAGCUUGUUGGUGGGGUAGUGGCUUACCGAGGCUUUGACGGGUAGCCGGCCUGAGAGGGUGACCGGCCACAUUGGGACUGAGAUACGGCCCAGACUCCUACGGGAGGCAGCAGUGGGGAAUAUUGCACAAUGGGCGGAAGCCUGAUGCAGCAACGCCGCGUGCGGGAUGACGGCCUUCGGGUUGUAAACCGCUUUCGCCUGUGACGAAGCGUGAGUGACGGUAAUGGGUAAAGAAGCACCGGCUAACUACGUG
rnacentral:rRNA from 1 species